AACGAACGCUGGCGGCAUGCCUAACACAUGCAAGUCGAACGAGACCUUCGGGUCUAGUGGCGCACGGGUGCAUAACGCGUGGGAACCUGCCUUUAGGUUCGGAAUAACUCAGAGAAAUUUGAGCUAAUACCGGAUGAUGUCUUCGGACCAAAGAUUUAUCGCCUUUAGAUGGGCCCGCGUUGGAUUAGCUAGUUGGUGGGGUAAAGGCCUACCAAGGCGACGAUCCAUAGCUGGUCUGAGAGGAUGAUCAGCCACACUGGGACUGAGACACGGCCCAGACUCCUACGGGAGGCAGCAGUGGGGAAUAUUGGACAAUGGGCGAAAGCCUGAUCCAGCAAUGCCGCGUGAGUGAUGAAGGCCUUAGGGUUGUAAAGCUCUUUUACCCGAGAUGAUAAUGACAGUAGCGGGAGAAUAAGCUCCGGCUAACUCCGUG
rnacentral:rRNA from 1 species